UGCCAGCAGCCGCGGUAAUACGGGGGAUGCAAGCGUAGUUCGGAAUUACUGGGCUUAAAGAGUUCGUAGGUGGUUAAAAAAGUUGGUGGUGAAAGCCCAGAGCUUAACUCUGGAACUGCCAUCAAAACUUUUUGGCUAGAGUAUGAUAGAGGAAAGCAGAAUUUCUAGUGUAGAGGUGAAAUUCGUAGAUAUUAGAAAGAAUACCGAUUGCGAAGGCAGCUUUCUGGAUCAUUACUGACACUGAGGAACGAAAGCAUGGGUAGCGAAGAGGAUUAUAUA
rnacentral:rRNA from 1 species